rnacentral:lncRNA from 1 species
GUUUCGUUGUUUUCCUCUUAUAGUUGAUGAGUAUCCUUCGGUUUUAGUUUGUAAAUAGUUAUUAUCAAAGGUACCAGGAUUAUAAUUUAAUACGCCAGACGCGCGUUUCGUCUACAUAAGACUCAUCAGUGACGCUCAAAUAAAAAUAUUUAUAAAUUCAAACAAGUACAAUGUUGGAGAGUAUUGAGGACCCAAAAUGGCAAAAUGUUGUG